UAGAUACUCCUUCCGUCCAAGAAAAUUUGUCCCUCAAAUGGAUGUAUCUAGCACCAAGUUAGUGUUAUAUACAUCCAUUUGAGAGACAAGCUUGGGACAAGCUUUUUCGGAUAGAGGGAGUGGCAA
rnacentral:pre_miRNA from 1 species